rnacentral:rRNA from 1 species
GUUAAGUGCGGGCCGGCAGCCGCGGGAAUACGGAGGGUGCAAGCGUUAAUCGGAAUUACUGGGCGUAAAGCGUGCGUAGGCGGUUCUUUAAGUCUGCUGUGAAAUCCCCGGGCUCAACCUGGGAAUGGCAGUGGAUACUGGAGAGCUAGAGUGUGAUAGAGGAUGGUGGAAUUCCCGGUGUAGCGGUGAAAUGCGUAGAGAUCGGGAGGAACAUCAGUGGCGAAGGCGGCCAUCUGGAUCAACACUGACGCUGAGGCACGAAAGCGUGGGGAGCAAACAGGAUUAGAUACCCCGGUAGUC